UACGUAGGGUGCGAGCGUUGUCCGGAAUUACUGGGCGUAAAGAGCUCGUAGGUGGUUUGUCGCGUUGUUCGUGAAAUCUCACGGCUUAACUGUGAGCGUGCGGGCGAUACGGGCAGACUAGAGUACUGCAGGGGAGACUGGAAUUCCUGGUGUAGCAGUGGAAUGCGCAGAUAUCAGGAGGAACACCGGUGGCGAAGGCGGGUCUCUGGGCAGUAACUGACGCUGAGGAGCGAAAGCGUGGGGAGCGAACAGG
rnacentral:rRNA from 1 species